AAAUCAUCCAUUCAGGCGUGAGUCUGGACCUGGUUUUCUACUGAACACACAAGUUCAUUAGAUCACUUGGUGUGAACAGGAACGAUGAUCAGACUCUUUGUGGCUCUUUCUGCUCUUUCUUCUCUCUUCACAGCUGUGAAAACUUCUGACAUCAAGGAGAUUGAAGUGAUAACAGUAAAGGUUGGAGAAGAUGUAACUAUGGAAUGUAACACUAACAGUGUCACAAAGAAAGAUAUUGUAGUUUGGUACAGACAGAGUUCAGGAAAAUUACCUCAGUAUUUUGCAAAACCAUACAAGAACGAAUUGGGCUACAAAUUUGCUCCAGGAUUUAAUGAUGAUCGUUUCAGUAUUAGUGUAAAUAACAAUAAAUUUGAGCUCAAUGUUAACAAAACAAGAGAAGAUGAUGAAGGAGAAUAUUUCUGUGGAGAAAUGGAAGGAACUGUACUGAAGUUCACAUCUGGAACACAUCUGCAAUUUGAAGGUGAGAGCUGUACUGCUGACAUGCGUGUGUUCUUCUGGCUCUCCAUUUCAAGAAUCGGAGUUCUCAGCGUAACAGUUAUUAUCCUUACAACAUGCUACAAGGUUUUAAAAUCAAGAUCUUAAAUAUAUUUGAUAUAAUUUUAUUUUAUCAGAUUUUUUUUAUAUCUUUGAUAUAAUUGUCUUUUAACUGUUGUCUGUGUUGCUCUAACUGUAAUGUAACAAGUGUGUUAUAUAUCUAACUGUAGCUGUAUUUAAAAAGGAAAUGAGAUCUGAGGUUGUGUUUAGACCCGCUAGGAGAAAGAACAAGUGGUGCAUUUCCUUCUUAUACCAAAAAUGUCACUCCAGUGGUGUGUGUGUGUGUGUGUGUGUUUGUGUGUGUGUGUAAGGUUUGAGGCUGAAACAGAAACUAUUUAAAUUCUGAAGCUAACUGCGAGUCGUACAAUGUGUAUGUAGCAGCAGAUAGAUUACACUGAUGGUUGUUAGUUCUCUUUCUCACUGUCACAUCCUCUGCUUAACAAAAAGUCAGCUUAUAAUUUACAGAUAUGAUUAUAGAGAAGUGUAAGAAAGACAACUGAGAUUGAAAAUAGUGUAGAAUGAAAAGCUUACAGAUAAACAGUAGAUAUAUUUAAAAGACAGACUUUACUGAACGUAUUGUUGCCAAAUGCCACCUUUCACAACUCUGGAGAGAUUUACAACCAGUAACUGAAGAAAAUAUCACAACUGUUUAUCAGUUAUAUGAAGAAAAGUAAGAGCACCACCUUGUUUGAGUGGCAUAUUGUUUAAAAAUCUACCUUUAAAUCACACAUCAUGGUUUUAUGUAAUGUCAAAGCUAAAACAAAUAUAAAACAUUUCACCGAUUUAUUUUUAUUUCGUCUUUAGUAGAUAAGGAAUUCUGUUCAGUUCAGAAUUAUUGUGUUGUAAAUACACGAGUAUAAGUGUGUUUUGUAUGAGAUUAUGCUUACGUGUGUGUGUGUGUGUGUGUGUGUGUGUCAGCCUGGGAAAACUGUUCACAUCAAACAAUUUAAAGCUUUCUACAGUAUCUACAGGCCAUACACAAUACAUUUUAA